CACCCCUCGAGCUACCUGCAGGUUCAGCUGCUCCCUGCUUGUGUGUUGGAGGUCGCUGAGUAGUGCGCGAGCAAAAUUUAAGCUACAACAAGGCAAGGCUUGACCGACAAUUGCAUGAAGAAUCUGCUUAGGGUUAGGCGUUUUGCGCUGCUUCGCGAUGUACGGGCCAGAUAUACGCGUAUCUGAGGGGACUAGGGUGUGUUUAGGCGAAAAGCGGGGCUUCGGUUGUACGCGGUUAGGAGUCCCCUCAGGAUAUAGUAGUUUCGCUUUUGCAUAGGGAGGGGGAAAUGUAGUCUUAUGCAAUACACUUGUAGUCUUGCAACAUGGUAACGAUGAGUUAGCAACAUGCCUUACAAGGAGAGAAAAAGCACCGUGCAUGCCGAUUGGUGGAAGUAAGGUGGUACGAUCGUGCCUUAUUAGGAAGGCAACAGACAGGUCUGACAUGGAUUGGACGAACCACUGAAUUCCGCAUUGCAGAGAUAAUUGUAUUUAAGUGCCUAGCUCGAUACAAUAAACG
rnacentral:misc_RNA from 1 species